rnacentral:rRNA from 1 species
GGAAUAUUGGUCAAUGGACGAAAGUCUGAACCAGCCAUGCCGCGUGCAGGAAGACGGCCCUACGGGUUGUAAACUGCUUUUAUACGAGAAUAAACCCCCGAACGUGUUCGGGGCUGAAGGUAUCGUACGAAUAAGCACCGGCCAACCCCGUGCCAGCAGCCGCGGUAAUACGGAGGGUGCAAGCGUUAUCCGGAUUCAUUGGGUUUAAAGGGUGCGUAGGCGGAGCAUUAAGUCAGUGGUGAAAUCUUCCAGCUCAACUGGGAAACUGCCAUUGAUACUGAUGUUCUUGAGUUUGGUUGAAGUAGGCGGAAUGAGGCAUGUAGCGGUGAAAUGCAUAGAUAUGCCUCAGAACACCAAUUGCGAAGGCAGCUUACUAAGUCAAUACUGACGCUGAGGCACGAAAGCGUGGGGAGCA